rnacentral:lncRNA from 1 species
GCCCAGUUUUGGGCACAGAAUGCUAAGAGGAACGCCAACAGAAUGGAGACUCGAUGCCAAUGAAUUGGGAAAUCAUAUUAUGUGACGGGCAGUUGAAGAAGGCAUGUCUGUAAAAUUGAAGAAGAGAUUUCUUAGAAUGACCUCAGUAACAAGCUUAAAUAUUUAAGUGUCUGGUGAAAGUAGGGGUGGGAUAGUCUCUGAUGUGCUACAAGAUCGAAGAAGGAGUUAAGUCCUUCUCUAGAGCCUCAAACCCCUGCUCAGCAUGAAAAAAACAACAGAAACCCAAGUUAACAUCUCCUUGCAAUAUCUGAUCUGUUUUUCCAAUACAUCUGCUCAUCUUGUUUCAAAACAAGUAGCUGUCACCAUUCUUAACCCUGUCGUCCAAACCAGAAACCGGGCAUCAUCUUUGACUGGUCCCCUUUACUCAGGGGGAAAAAAAACCAUGUCUUUUAAAGUCAGCGCCUAUAAUACUGGUCUUUGGUUUAUCUCCAAUAACUCGAUUGUUAACAGCCCUUGAAGGGGAGGCAAUACUGUUAAACUUGAUAAUUUCUAAAGAGUUUUGAGCUAUUUAGCACGAAGUGAUGCCAAGAAAAAGGAAUACUAACAUUACUCACAGCAGAGGGAAAAAUUUUAUAUCCUUUCUGAAGGCCAAGGUUAAGUUCUGUGUGACUCAGCACAUUGACUUUCUAUAUGACCCUAAAUCCCUUCUAUUUCCUGAUCUACUUGUCUUGACCUGUUUCAUUUCCACACCAAAAUAGUUUCAUUAACACAGCGAUCAUGCUCAGGAGAUAGUGGCUAACUGAUGUAAUUAACUGACAUGUCAAAGGCUAUUGGUUUAUUGCAUAUGCAACUGUCUUUCCUGGUGGGAAGAUACAGUUUCUGCUGACAUAAUAGGUAUGCAAACAUGCCAAAUUGCCCAAUAAUCUGCCCCCGUGAUGGAUCCAGCACCUGGCCUGGCACAGGGUACAUGCUCAGAGAACAAGUCUUUGAAAGAAUGGGUAGAUGUUUAUUUUCCUUUGUAUUAGCCAUUAGCUCAAGAAAGGGACUACUUCUGCUGACCACACAGAAGACGCUAACGAAGUGUCUUCUUUCCUUUAUCAUGGCCAUUGAUAGCAAGAGCUUAAGGGAAUCUUGCCUCCCUGGGCUCAGGAUAGGCUGGAGAGAAGGACACACAUAAGAGGAAAUUGACAUU